AUGGGGGUCAGAGUUUUCCGUUUCAACUUCAACGAACAACCUAAAUCUCUCUUCUCCUUCUCAAUCCCUCUGCCGUUUCAACUCUCAAUUCAACCUCCGAUGAAUUUACCUCCGGACUCUUCCUCGCUCGCGAUUUGUUUCGCCUCUGAUUCUCCUCCAGUUCGUCGCGAUCGUCUCAUUCUGACUUUGCUCGAUCCUCUGAUUUCGUGCCUUCAUCAACUUUAG